CAAUGCUGAUGAGACCCGAACAAGUCGAAACAGCUGUCCAGUGC
rnacentral:hammerhead_ribozyme from 1 species